UCAAAGGGACACUCCCUGAGGACAAAACAUCGACCUCAGGCUGCUCUGCAAACCUCCAGAACUCAGUUGGUCAUAGGGAAAGAGCAGCUGAUCUAUGCUGCUUCCAAGGAAGUGAGGAGACCAUCCCCAACCCGGCGGGAGAUACCCUGCAGCCAUAAAGGACCAAGUGGCCAAGAAUGGAACCACACAGCCCUAACUUUGCAGCCUGAGUUGCUGUGAAGUUUAAAAGAGAAGUCAUCAAAGCCGGGUCGGCCAGCAUUUGUGGUGGUUGCUGCUGGGAAUACCGGACGCCAUGAAUUCAGGGCAGGCUGCCUUCCCCAGGACAGGUGGCCAGGUCUGGCAGCCCUACACGGCCGUACACCAUCCGUCUCUACCUGCUCCCCUAGAAGAGGAGGGAGGACGAAUAUAGUUCAGCACCAAGAGGGAUUGCCCACCAGGCGUUCCUGAGAAAUUCUGUCAGCGCAGCACCUCAGGUGAGAGAGACUUGCCAGGGGCACGCAUCCCCUCUUCGGAAGCUCAGGCCUCUCAGUGGCAGCCCCAGAAGGCCCAGAAUGAAGCCCUCUGUCUCUGCACCACAGUAAAUCCUGCCACUGUGAAGCUUCACCGUAAUAAAGAGAUGAUUCAGGAAUGACUCAGAGAAACCAUAGAAUUUCAGAGAUGUUCUCCUGGACCCACAGCAGGUACAGUGAUGCGAGCUUUGUCUUCCUCCUCCAGCCUUUGUACUUGGUGUCAGAUCUGAGUAAUAAGUGAUAUAUUAAAUGACUGGUGACAGUCCUUACCCUUCCUUCCUCCCC